rnacentral:lncRNA from 1 species
UAGUACUGGGUGGAUAUUUUAUUGCACCAAUUUAGGCUUCUCCCCAGAGAUUUCUUAAAACAGAAAGGCAGUUGUAAUACCAAGUAUUGCUGUAUCAGGCCACCUGCUACUCCAAAGCCAUGAAUUAACUUGUUCUAAGCCCUCAAGGAAAGAAAAGAGGAAACAGAGGUUUAUUCCCUAUCAAGACAGUCCACUUGAGAAAGUUCUGUCUUGGUUGUAACUUCAGGUUUCUUUCUUACACAGGCAUUUUAUUAAUGCUUUUACGAGUUAGAAGAGUUGGGAUAAUUUGCCAUCUGGAGUUUCUCUGCCUUGCUGAUCUGAGCUCAGACCUGCCAAUUUACCAGAGAUAAUUGAUAACACCCUGUAACAGCUGAGAGGAAAAUGGAAGAAACGGAGAUACUUUUAGUGAAGCAGAAUAAACCACUGAACAGGAAAAAUGAGGAAGCUGUGAGUACCAGUGGAAGGAACGAGCCAGGAAGAGGGACUGGAACCAUCUCAGAAGCCAUGCCCCUCAGGCUGGAACUUGCCCUGUCUCCUCGCAGAUGAGCUACCUCUUGUGUUUAAGAAUUAAAGGAAGAUGAGCUAGGAAUCAAGAAAUACGCAGAACUGAUUCCUGUCACUGGCGCCACCCUGCCACUUGCCCAGAGCUGUGGUAUAAAUUUUUUUAAUAGGCUGAAAUAAAAAUAUGAAUAGCAUUUUGGUAUUAAGCAUUAAAUUGAUAAAGGCUAUGAGAUACACCUGCUCUCAACCAUGUUAAUUUUUUAUUAUU